rnacentral:rRNA from 1 species
AGAGUUUGAUCCUGGCUCAGAACGAACGCUGGCGGCAUGCCUAACACAUGCAAGUCGAACGAGACCUUCGGGUCUAGUGGCGCACGGGUGCGUAACGCGUGGGAAUCUGCCCUUGGGUACGGAAUAACAGUUAGAAAUGACUGCUAAUACCGUAUAAUGACUUCGGUCCAAAGAUUUAUCGCCCAGGGAUGAGCCCGCGUAGGAUUAGCUUGUUGGUGAGGUAAGAGCUCACCAAGGCGACGAUCCUUAGCUGGUCUGAGAGGAUGAUCAGCCACACUGGGACUGAGACACGGCCCAGACUCCUACGGGAGGCAGCAGUGGGGAAUAUUGGACAAUGGGCGAAAGCCUGAUCCAGCAAUGCCGCGUGAGUGAUGAAGGCCUUAGGGUUGUAAAGCUCUUUUACCCGGGAAGAUAAUGACUGUACCGGGAGAAUAAGCUCCGGCUAACUCCGUGCCAGCAGCCGCGGUAAUACGGAGGGAGCUAGCGUUGUUCGGAAUUACUGGGCGUAAAGCGCGCGUAGGCGGCUUUGCAAGUUAGAGGUGAAAGCCCGGGGCUCAACCCCGGAACUGCCUUUAAAACUGCAUCGCUUGAAUCCGGGAGAGGUGAGUGGAAUUCCGAGUGUAGAGGUGAAAUUCGUAGAUAUUCGGAAGAACACCAGUGGCGAAGGCGGCUCACUGGACCGGUAUUGACGCUGAUGUGCGAAAGCGUGGGGAGCAAACAGGAUUAGAUACCCUAGUAGUCC